GAAGCCUCGGCACAUGUCGUAACAUCACUAGCAAAUACUAUUUAGGCUGAUGUUUAACCUGUCAGUCAUCUUUAUUUCAGUUGUGCAACAUUUCUUGACCACUUGGGGACACUGAUAUCUUCACCUUUUACAUCAAUAUAUUGAAUUUUUUGGCAAGCCGUUGUAUAUUUACAGAUCCGUGCCGUAAAUGUCAGUGUGGCGUUCAUCCAAAAAAUACGUCCUGUGUUCAUCGCCCAAAAAACUGGAAAUAAGGCUCCGUCCACAUUACAACAAUACUGCUCUCUUUACCACUGAAGACUUACACUAAAACCAACAGUCUCUCUGCCACAGUUUGAAGCUGAAGAUCUCAAAAGAACACUAUUAGUGGGACUUCAUUGUUGUUCUUCAAGCGCCUUAAAAGCUCCUGUUUACUACCUCCAUCCAUCUUUCCCACAAGGCCGUCGUCUGCCUUCGUACACUUAGAUGGACAGUUGGGAAACAGAAGACGAGAAGUGAGGCGCAGGGUGCCAGCACUCCCUCUAACUUCAGGAGGGAUGGCAGAAUAGCAACUUUUCUCUUCUCACAACAAUGGGGAAGUACAUAUCUCACAGGGACACUUAAUCUUGAGCACCAGACUAACAGGCUCUGUGUCAUGAUUGACUGUCCCUUUCAGCCAGUCCCUGAGUGACCCUCAAAACCACGGAGAUGUGAGAGGACCAAUAAAACUCUAGCUGGAUAAUAACUCAUCAUAGCCUCAUACGUUUUCAUUUACAGCGCAAUAUAACCGCUUUAGCAGUUAUAAAUCAGCAGCUAAUGGGAUAAGUGGAGCUUCAAAAUAUGAGGCCUGAUGUGUGUACUCACCACUGAAGUGCUAAAGUCAUAUUUAACGCAAUUCCUCCCUCAGGCCAGUUUAUCUUUGUCUGUCUGCAUGGAUACUGUGGUUAGAAAGUGACUUUUUUUGUUGUUUUGGUGCCUCUGCUCCACUGCACAAAGAAUUUAAAAUUUUGUUUUAAUUUUUGCUAUUAAACAGGAUGUUUUAAUUCAAUGAAAAAAAUAGAAAUGAACAAGUAGUACAACUUAGCCCUCAUCCUACAAGCGUAUUUAACACAGUCAACUACCGAUGGGUUACAAAAGAAAGAUAUUAUCUUUGUUCUCUUAAAACCAUUAAGAGUUGCUGAAUUAAUGUCGUCAGAAAAACACAGAAUUUUAGAAAAGUUACAGGUGGCUUGCAAAUUGUUUUAAAUACAUGAGUCACUCCAGAAUUAGAGGACAUUUGGGCUUCAAAAUUUUUGGAAAAUAAACCUUCUCUUUUACAAUUUUCUGCUCCAUAUUCAUCAAUAAUAGGUAAUAAACUAUCAAAACCUUGACAGGCUUAGCUUACAUAUCAGUGGUAAAAUUUUUGUUCCAUGUUUUCUGUGUUGUUUGCUAACCCUACUCUAAUCACAGUAACAGGGUUGCUAAUCCAUGCUAAUGUGAUCUUUUUCUCAGCAGUAGAAGCUAGAUAUUUAGCUGCUGUUACUGCUGACCAAGAGGACAAACUUAUUUAUGUAAAAAAGCAAAGAAAAAAGUAAAACGAAUUUUCCUUAUCCUGAUAAUAUGCAUAACAGGGUUGCAUGAGGUACAGUGAGACAUUCAAUCAAGGCUGACAAUGAAAAUAUGAAAAAUAGAAGAGAGGACAUGGCUUUGCUCUCAAAAUUCUUUUGGAAAACUGUUUGCUGAUGUUCAUUCCAGCGUAUCAUGUGAUUCACUGUUUUCUUCUUCUUCUACCAGUUAAAAAGGUUAUGCUAACAGGGCUGUUGUGGGACACAUGCAAAAUAAUAAUUUUUCAGAAUUAUUAUGUUGAUUUAAAAAAAUGUGUCCACAAUUACAAGAGACAUCAAUGAAAAAAAAACUAACUAAUCAACAAAAAAAGGAGAUUUAAAAUCCACUCGAACUGUUUUAUUUGAGAAUCAAUGUCGUCAUCAGUGAGUUGGGACAAGAAAAAAAAUGUCAUUUUAGGGGCAACUCCAGACUUAUUCGAUAUUUUAAAAAAUAUUUUCAAACAUUCUUUUCUCCUAGUUUUUUAAAGAUUUGGUUUCAGUCAGAACGAGUAAAUUUACACAAAAUCUAAACUAUGUCUUAGUAUUUUGUACAUAGAUUAUUUGAAAUUUGAUGGGUGGGACCUAAAAUGUCCUCCGAUUCUGGAAUGACCCACAUAUUUUAUACAGAUACAUUUUAAAAUGCAGCUUUCAUCCUGAGCACAAUUCACAUUAGUGCUUUAAAGUUUGAUUCUAGCAUAAUAAUCUAGCAUAACUCAUGUCAUGUGAAUAUUAAUCAUGUUUAUUUAUACAUCUUGCAAUUUUGGCAACAUCAAAUCUGGCCAAUUUUGAUCUUCUUGCCAUUGUUGGUUGAAAAAAACACUGAUGUCAUCAAAAAAUACAUUAUACUGAUAUAAUGUACAUUUAUGCCAACUAAACACAUCUUGUGACUCUGAGAAACUUUCUUUCAAAUCUUUCUUUUUCUUGCCUCUAUCCCUCUGCAGCCUCCAAAAUGGUCACAUUUGUGUUUCUUCCCACAUCAACACAAUGUCCUGAUCAUGCUUUAAACUGUAUAUUGUAUAGUUCAGAUGCAUAACCCGCUAUUUCCAGCUUAUCUUGUGUAAUAAAAUGUAAACAUCUGGUAGUCCUGAGACAUAACAUUAUGAAAUCAUCUUGUUUUUACAAGAGCUGUAUUUAAGGUCAUUGACAGACAGCAUGGGGAAACUGGUGUCUGUCUCCUUCAAAAUGACUAAGAGAGUCAGUCAAGCCUCCCAGACUCCCACCCACCAUAAGUGUGUGAUACAUUAAAUGAGGAUCAAUGGCAAACAUGUAAACAUUUCCAUUUAAUAAGACUGCAUAGGCAGAACUGGGUGAUUUUCAUCCCCCUGGGACCCAUGUACACUGUUGUUUUCAAAACACAACUUUGGUGGUUGACAAAGUUAAGAAAAAUUGUAAUGACAGAACAAUAACACACCUGUGAGAUAUAACACUAAAAGUACCUGUGGGUUAUGUGUGUACCUCAGUCUGUAUGAUGGAAAUUAUAUAUGGAAAAUCUAAUAACUUUUGACUUGCCCCUAAGUGGGGGAUGAGUCUAAUUCCGUUUUUUUCAUAUAAAAAUAUACUUAGAAAUUCUCUAUUGACAUAUAGUUGACCUUGAGCACAACAGCUAAUGCAGGGACAUAACAUAAGAUCAGGGAAAAUGUGAUUAGAACUGAAUUACUGGCAGAGUCUUUGGCCCAGAGACAUUAUCAGAUAUUGCAUGGGUUAUGCUUUGGCCCCAAAAAUAAUUUUUCCUAAUAGGAGGCUCUAUGCCCAACAAACUUGAAACUUGAAUCUAAUCAUUGUGCUUAUUGUAUACACUAAGCAAAAAUCUAAACUCACUGCAAUGCAAGUGAUCUUCUUUUCAGACUCAGAGAAAACAAAACAAUCUUAUUUUCAUUAUUCUGGUGAGAAACAUCAUAAAUUUAGCCAAUUUGUGCCCAAGGCUUUGCGGUGUUCUGUUUCAUCAACUACUAAGUUAAUCCAUAUCCUCAUCAGGUGUGGCUUUAAAAUACACUGAUCUGAUGGUGUGACCACUUUAAAACGCAGCUUUUUUCAAAUAAGACAAUGCUACAGACAAGAAGAGGAUGAUAAGAAUGGGCUAUGGGCAUGCUGGAUGCUGGCAUGUCAGUGAGCGCUGCAGCCAGGCACUUGAAUGUCCACAACUCCACCAUUUGUCAUGUAAGAAAUCAUUUCAGACAGCUUGAUAUGACAGACAGUCUGCAACACGAUGCUCUGGAUGUUCGUGUCCAACAGCAUGAUCCCAUCCCUAAAAUGUCCGUUAACCUUGCCAAGUCCUUCAGGAAGAGUCAGACAGCAUCCACAAGUGGCAUCAACAAUCUGUUUAACUCCAUUUCUGCUCUAUGACCCCACUCUCAACCUGCCCAUUAUCGUUUCCACUUGUUUCAUUUUGUUGUUGUUGUUUCAUGAUGUCUGUUCUGUUGCAGAGAUGCCAUUUGUUGGAACAAGCAUUAUUCCCCUGUGUUAUGAAGAAAGGACAAAACCAAAUAAAAUAUGCAA